CUUUUGCUGGCGACCGGCGCACGGGUGAGUAACACGUAUCCAACCUGCCCUUUACUCGGGGAUAGCCUUUCAAAGAAAGAUUAAUACCCGAUAGCAUAAUGAUUCCGCAUGGUUUCAUUAUUAAAGGAUUCCGGUAAAGGAUGGGGAUGCGUUCCAUUAGGUUGUUGGUGAGGUAACGGCUCACCAAGCCUUCGAUGGAUAGGGGUUCUGAGAGGAAGGUCCCCCACAUUGGAACUGAGACACGGUCCAA
rnacentral:rRNA from 1 species